rnacentral:rRNA from 1 species
UACGUAGGCAGCGAGCGUUGUUCGGAGUUACUGGGCGUAAAGGGUGUGUAGGCGGUUCUUUAAGUUUGGUGUGAAAUCUCCCGCUUAACCGGGAGGGUGCGCCGAAUACUGAGGGACUAGAGUACGGGAGAGGAAAGUGGAAUUCCUGGUGUAGCGGUGAAAUGCGUAGAUAUCAGGAGGAACACCUGAGGUGAAGACGGGUUGCUGGGCUGAUACUGACGCUGAGGCGCGAAAGCUAGGGUAGCAAACGGG